UAAACCUAUUUUUUGAGGAAAUAUAACUUUUGAAACAAUGAUGGAAAUUCUUCGAGAUAAACCGAGUGGCAUUAAUAUGGAGGGAGAAUUCCUGACCACUGCAAGCAUGGUUUCUAUUUUACCUCAAGACUCCAGCCUUCCUUGCAUUCACUUCUUUACAGGGACUCCUGAUCCCGAGAGAUCUGUUUUUAAGCCUUUCAUAUUUAUGCCACAUAUUUCACAACUAUUGGAUACCAGUUCACCAACAUUUGAACUUGAAGAUCUAGUUAAAAAGAAAUCACAUUUUAAGCCUGACAGAAGACACCCACUCUACCAAAAACAUGAACAGGCAUUGGAAGUAGUAAAUAAUAAUGAGGAAAAAGCCAAAAUAAUGUUGGACAACAUGAGGAAACUGGAGAAAGGACUAUUCAGAGAGAUGGAAUCAAUCCUUCAAAACAAGCAUCUUGAUGUGGAGAAAAUUGUUAAUCUCUUUCCUCAGUGUACAAAAGAUGAAAUUCAAAUUUAUCAGUCAAAUUUAUCAGUCAAAGUUAGUUCUUAG
rnacentral:sRNA from 1 species